CUAAGAUGGAUUGCUGUCUGCGUGGUCCGACCACGCUAUGGUGCCUAUUUCGGUCUUUUGUGUUUUCGUGUAGCCUGCGUGGUUGGUUAAGAACAUGUCUAUGCGUGAAUAUGUGUCGUGGGGCGGUGAGUAGUAGGUGUAGUCUUUGUCGAAGGGAUGUUGUGCUCUCCAGGCAUCUAUAAGGCCCGUUUUUCGUAUGAAGUGGUGCAAUUGUUUGUCUUGGGCUCCCGCGCCAUGGGAUCUGAUCACUCCUGGGCGCGAGCUUCUGUUUGCUGCUGGGGCAGGAGUGGCAUUUAGGUCGCUCCCCAGGAGGAUAAUCCCUGUGGGGAGUGAAAGGACUAUGUCAGACAUCUGGUUCCAGUUGUUGGUGUGUUGGGAGCAUAAAUGUUGAGUAAAUGGAUGGGUUGUGUAUGAAUUCGUCCGGUUGCUAGGACGAAUCUACCGUCUGGGUCUGGUGUCACUUGGGUUAGGUGACUUGGGCAUCAUUUGUGUGUGAGAAUUGCUACUCUGUUGUGUUUACGGAAGGUUCGUGUCUCUGCGGCCAGGCGGUAUGUGUUGUCACGGAGGGAGACCUGAACAGAGCGAGAUAGAUGUG